GACGAGAUGGCCGAGUGGUUAAGGUGAUGGACUGCUGCUAAUCCACUGUGCUCUGCACACGUGGCUUUGUAUCCCAUCCUUGUCG
rfam:Ovis aries breed Texel chromosome 8, whole genome shotgun sequence.